rnacentral:lncRNA from 1 species
GGUAAUAUAUCUUUAAUUGAUAAGAUCAUCAUACUAUCUGGCAAUUUUCUAUGAUCUGAAAUACCAAAACUUCACUGACCAGUGAAUUGUGGAAUGCAUGCUUGCUUGAGUUCUUGAAAAUAUUUUUUCCUAAUGGUCCUACAAGAAAACCUACUGGUCCUCACUAUGAUCUAUAAUUUCUAUUGCAAAAAAUAACCAGUCAUAAAAUGUUUGAUUGUCAAAUCUUGGGACCACCACUUUAUAG